UACGGGGGGGGCAAGCGUUGUUCGGAAUUACUGGGCGUAAAGGGCGCGUAGGCGGCCGCCUAAGUCAGACGUGAAAUCCCUCGGCUCAACCGGGGAACUGCGUCUGAUACUGGGUGGCUUGAAUCCGGGAGAGGGAUGCGGAAUUUCAGGUGUAGCGGUGAAAUGCGUAGAUAUCUGGAGGAACACCGGUGGCGAAGGCGGCAUCCUGGACCGGCAUUGACGCUGAGGCGCGAAAGCCAGGGGAGCAAACGGG
rnacentral:rRNA from 1 species